rnacentral:ribozyme from 1 species
CAAAGGAAGGCAGUCCCCCUCAAAGAGUGACCCGGCGAUGGUGAGAAAAGAGAGUGCGCUGAAACGCGAGCAGCUUGAAGCAGUGAUCGCAAGAGAAGGGAUGGACAGCGGCAGUGCUGGCGGCGGCGGCGGC